UUUUCUUUUUCUUCUCCUUCUUCUUCUCAACGCCGACCUCCCCCCCACGCACCCAUUUCUCUCGCACGUCGGCACAACUCCGAUGACGACACAUACCACCGGCAGGUCUCCGUGCAUCAUCUCCACCGCGUCUGAUCAGACUGUUCGAUUCUUUAGCUGUUGGUCACGUUUGCGGUUUCGAUUGGUGGUGCCGCUGUAGUCACGUCUCCCCAACUUGUCAGAGUUCGUCUUCGUUUGGGGUGUCGUUGGAACUCCAAGAGAUUGUCGACGACGCUAACUAUUUCUUGCUGUUCUUUAAUUCGAGUUUUAGAAGUGUUUAAGCCACUAUCCAGCCAUUUGAAAGCUCAAAAUUAGGCAUUUGACACAACUUGGGCCAAAUUGAAGGGGAAAAAUGCAUAAUCUUGGGGAUCGAGUUAUUGACUGUGAGUGGCUCAUUUUCAAACUUUCUUUGUACAUGUUAUUUUUAUGAUAUAGUUUGGAAAUUACCAUUACCUAAACUUGUUAUGAC